GGGAGCCUCGGUUGGCCUC
rnacentral:miRNA from 1 species